rnacentral:rRNA from 1 species
GAUGAACGCUAGCGGCAGGCUUAAUACAUGCAAGUCGUGGGGCAGCAGGUUUGUAGCAAUACAGAUGCUGGCGACCGGCAAACGGGUGCGGAACACGUACAGAACCUUCCUUUGGAGCGGGGAAUAGCCCAGAGAAAUUUGGAUUAAUACCCCAUAGUAUAAUGAAGUGGCAUCGACUUUAUUAUUAAAGAUUUAUCACUCGAAGAUGGCUGUGCGGCUGAUUAGGUAGUUGGCGGGGUAAAGGCCCACCAAGCCUGCGAUCAGUAACUGGUGUGAGAGCACGACCAGUCACACGGGCACUGAGACACGGGCCCGACUCCUACGGGAGGCAGCAGUAGGAA